UUCAGAAAAACCCCUGUCCCGCGGUCCCAAAGUCGGCAGUGGUGUCAGCCUUGAGUCUGCUGUCCCCGCAGGAUGCUGGAAAAGCAAACCCUUUGGCUCUCAGAACCCGGCUCCUCACCACCAGCGCGGGCAGAUCCAGCCAAAGACCAAACAAAGCUAAUCAUGGAGGGAGCUGUAGGCCGAGAAGAAGUGGGAAUCCCCACCUACACGCAACAUUUGAUCCGCGUCGUAGGGGAAACUUAAUUCCACAUGUAUCGUGCGACAGUGACGUAUGGAAUUCCCACUGAGAGCAUCCGAGGAUCCGGGCGCGUCGGGGAACAACGCAGCCCAAGACCCUGUCCUGCCGCAGGCCACAGCUGCUGCAGUUCAUUUCCUGAGCGGCAGAGUCUGGGGAUGCACUGCCUGCCCCCCCAACCUCCCCGGCCCGCACCACGCCCUUCAGACACAAGACAGUUCACAGCUCUGCUGAGUGCUGUAAACGAUGUUCUGCCCUCAGGACUGAAUGUUCUCAUUUUAUUUAGAAAGACACACACUUGCUGGUGGCUGAGGCAGGAGGACCCCUGAGCCCAGAGGUUGGAGAUCAGCCUAGGCAGCACAGCGGGACCCUGCUCAAAACAAAUUUUUUGAGUUAAAAAAAGAAGAAAG